GUGCUUGCUUUGGCAACACAUAUACUUAAAUUGGAGUGAUACAGAGAAGGUUUGCAUGGCCCUUAUGCAAAGACAACAUGUAAAUUUGUAAAGCUUUCCAUGUUAAA